UCACUCCAAAUAAAACCGCGAUUCAAUAACACCGUUUACAAACUGUAUGCUUGGAAUGACCAAUUUUAAAUACUAUUGGAACUUACUCACAAGGUACAAGAAUCUUAGAUGUAUACCAU